AUGUUGCCUCUUUCCCCCGCUCAGCCCGGUGGCUGUAGGGUGGCGGUCGGAUGGCGUGUUCACAUGGCCUCUGGUUCACCUGCUUCUAAGAAGCGGCGAUCCUUGGAGCCUCGUGGACGGAUCAGAGACUCGUUGCACGAGCCCGUGGAUACGGCCGCUUGUACCGGUCUCCUGGUUCCCCACAUUAUAGGUGAGGAGAGGGGUCCGCGCGCUGUGGCUACAGCCUGCGGACAGCGCAUGCGCAUAGGUGCGGCGGCCGGACGGCUCGCUCCCUGUUCAGCGGUCACGAGCGCAACGUCUAGACAGCUCGUUGUUUUUACAGCGGCUGGUUCUGGUACGUCUCCUACGCUCGCUGAGCCUCCUCCCUUUCAUGGGAAGCCCCCCUUGGUUCACACGCAGUGUGGAGGCGGUAGGGGCAGAGGAAUACGGGUUAUUCCUGGACGGUCUUCCUCAGCUGUCGGCUCGCCCUCUCUCCAACCGCUAUGCGUGUUGGCAAGAGCGGUGCGUUCUGCCAUCGUGGUUGGACACCACGUUGAGAUGGGGCCAUCCCAUACAGUUCAAGCGUCGUCCCCCACCCUUUAUGGGGUUGGUGGAGACCACGCUACGGGACCCGGCUGCGAGCACAGCUCUGGCAGCAGAGGUGGCACGUCUCUUGGUAAAGGGGGCCAUCACUGUCGUUCCCCCCCACGAGUCUCACCUAGGGUUUUAUUCCCGCUACUUCCUGGUUUCCAAGAAGUCAGGGGAAAAGAGACCUAUUCUGGAUCUUCGCGUGUUCAACAGAUUCGUUGCCACGAGGAAGUUCAGAAUGCUCACUGUCGGAGCGUUGUUCCGGUGUUUGAGAGAGGGCGAUUGGUUCACAUCCCUGGAUCUCAAGGAUGCUUACUUCCACGUCCCUGUUCGGCAGGCGCACAGUUUCUCCGCUUUGCCUUUAUGGGGAUGGCAUACGAGUACCAGUGUCUGCCGUUUGGCUAUUCCCUGGCUCCGCGCACCUUCUCGAAGUGUGUGGAGACGGCGUUGGAACCGCUCAGGCGUCAGGGAAAGAGGAUUCUCUUCUACCUAGACGACCUGCUUAUUCUGAGCAACUCAGAAGAGACUGCGAGAAGGGACACCAUGUUGGUGAUAAACCAUCUCUCCUUCCUGGGUUUUGCCAUCAACUGGGAGAAGAGCUCCCCGCUCCCCAGCCGGCAGACAGUCUACUUGGGGCUUUGCCUAGACUCAGCCACCAUGACUGCGAUGCUUUCGCCUCCUCGGCGAGACGCCAUCCUGUCGACGCUCUCCCGUUUUCGCGUUCGCAGAAACGUGACCGCAUCAUGCGCCUGUUAG
rnacentral:lncRNA from 1 species